rnacentral:rRNA from 1 species
GACAGAGGGUGCAAACGUUGUUCGGAAUUACUGGGCGUAAAGCGCGUGUAGGCGGCUAUGCAAGUCGGAUGUGAAAGCCCUCGGCUCAACCGGGGAAGUGCACCCGAAACUGCAAAGCUAGAGUCUCGGAGAGGAUCGUGGAAUUCUCGGUGUAGAGGUGAAAUUCGUAGAUAUCGUAAGGAAGACCAGUGGCGAAGGCGGGUCUCUGGACAGUUCCUGACGCUGAGGCACGAAGGCCAGGGGAGCAAACGGG